rnacentral:misc_RNA from 1 species
AAGAGUGUAAAAAGCUCCUAAACCAUUGUGAACCAAUCCAGUCGGCGUUGCUUCGGUGGGCGGCCCCAGGGGGGGUCCGCGGCUCGUACUGGCCUCCGGGCCGGGAACGGCGCCCGCCGGAGGUAUCAAAACCAUAUGUAUUCUAACGGCAUCUCUGAGUAAACAAGCAAACAAUUA